rnacentral:rRNA from 1 species
CCCUUAGACGUUCUGGGCCGCACGCGCGCUACACUGACCAGUGCAACAAGCAUCCGUCCUUGGCCGACAGGCCCGGGCAAUCUUUGAACGCUGGUCGUGAUGGGGAUAGAUUAUUGCAAUUAUUAAUCUUCAACGAGGAAUGCCUAGUAAGCGCAAGUCAUCAGCUUGCGUUGAUUACGUCCCUGCCCUUUGUACACACCGCCCGUCGCUCCUACCGAUUGAAUGGUCCGGUGAAGCGUUCGGACCGUGGCCUUUGGACGGUUCGCCGUCUGUUGGCUGCGGGAAGUUCGUUAAACCUUAUCAUUUAGAGGAAGGAGAAGUCGUAACA